rnacentral:rRNA from 1 species
AGUGAACGCUGGCGGUAGGCCUAACACAUGCAAGUCGAGCGGCAGCGCGGGGGCAACCCUGGCGGCGAGCGGCGGACGGGUGAGGAAUUCGUCGGAAUCUGCCUUUUUGUGGGGGAUAACGUAGGGAAACUUACGCUAAUACCGCAUACGUCCUACGGGAGAAAGUGGGGGACCGCAAGGCCUCACGCAGAAAGAUGAGCCGACGACCGAUUAGCUAGUUGGUGGGGUAAAGGCCCACCAAGGCGACGAUCGGUAGCUGGUCUGAGAGGAUGAUCAGCCACACUGGGACUGAGACACGGCCCAGACUCCUACGGGAGGCAGCAGUGGGGAAUAUUGGACAAUGGGCGCAAGCCUGAUCCAGCCAUGCCGCGUGUGUGAAGAAGGCCUUCGGGUUGUAAAGCACUUUUGUCCGGAAAGAAAUCCCUGGAGCUAAUACCUUCGGGGGAUGACGGUACCGGAAGAAUAAGCACCGGCUAACUUCGUG